UACGAAGGGAGCUAGCGUUGUUCGGAAUCACUGGGCGUAAAGGGUGCGUAGGCGGGUUUUUAAGUCAGGGGUGAAAUCCUGGAGCUCAACUCCAGAACUGCCUUUGAUACUGAAGAUCUUGAGUCCGGGAGAGGUGAGUGGAACUGCGAGUGUAGAGGUGAAAUUCGUAGAUAUUCGCAAGAACACCAGUGGCGAAGGCGGCUCACUGGCCCGGUACUGACGCUGAGGCACGAAAGCGUGGGGAGCAAACAGG
rnacentral:rRNA from 1 species